rnacentral:rRNA from 1 species
CCCUUAGAUGUUCUGGGCUGCACGCGCGCUACACUGAAGCGUUCAACGAGUAUUUCACCUUGCCCGGGAGGGUUGGGUAAUCUUUUUAAAACGCUUCGUGAUGGGGAUAGAUUAUUGCAAUUAUUAAUCUUCAACGAGGAAUUCCUAGUAAGCGCGAGUCAUCAGCUCGUGCUGAUUACGUCCCUGCCCUUUGUACACACCGCCCAUCGCUCCUACCGAUUGAGUGAUCCGGUGAAUAAUUCGGACUGCAGCAGUGCUUGGUCCUCCGGGCUUUGCAGCGGAAAGUUUAGUGAACCUUAUCACUUAGAGGAAGGAGAAGUCGUAACA